UACGGAGGGUGCAAGCGUUAUCCGGAUUCACUGGGUUUAAAGGGUGCGUAGGAGGGCAGGUAAGUCAGUGGUGAAAUCCCCGAGCUUAACUUGGGAACUGCCGUUGAUACUAUCUGUCUUGAAUGUUGUGGAGGUGAGCGGAAUAUGUCAUGUAGCGGUGAAAUGCUUAGAUAUGACAUAGAACACCAAUUGCGAAGGCAGCUUGCUACACUACUAUUGACACUGAGGCACGAAAGCGUGGGGAUCAAACAGG
rnacentral:rRNA from 1 species